rnacentral:rRNA from 1 species
GACGAACCGCCCGAACGUUAUUCGGAAUCACUGGGCUUAAAGGGCGCGUAGGCGGGCCCGAAAGUCAGGGGUGAAAGCCCACGGCUCAACCGUGGAAGUGCCUCUGAUACUUCAGGCCUCGAGGGAGGUAGGGCGUGCGGGAAACUUUCCCGGUGGGAGCGGUGAAAUGCGUAGAUAUCGGAAAGGGAAACGUCGGGUGGCGAAGCGGCGCGCUGGACCUCUUCUGACGCUGAGGCGCGAAGCCAGGAG